UAAAUAAUAGGUAAGUUGGUAGAGCAGGCGACUGUUAAUCGUAAGGACAUGAGUUCGAGUUUCGUUAUUCAA
rnacentral:tRNA from 4 species